rnacentral:rRNA from 1 species
AGGAAUAUUGGUCAAUGGGCGAGAGCCUGAACCAGCCAAGUAGCGUGAAGGAUGAAGGUCCUACGGAUUGUAAACUUCUUUUAUACGGGAAUAAAGUUUCCUACGUGUAGGAUUUUGUAUGUACCGUAUGAAUAAGCAUCGGCUAACUCCGUGCCAGCAGCCGCGGUAAUACGGAGGAUGCGAGCGUUAUCCGGAUUUAUUGGGUUUAAAGGGAGCGCAGACGGGAGAUUAAGUCAGUUGUGAAAGUUUGCGGCUCAACCGUAAAAUUGCAGUUGAUACUGGUUUCCUUGAGUGCAGUUGAGGCAGGCGGAAUUCGUGGUGUAGCGGUGAAAUGCUUAGAUAUCACGAAGAACCCCGAUUGCGAAGGCAGCUUGCUAAACUGUAACUGACGUUCAUGCUCGAAAGUGUGGGUAUCAAACAGGAUUAGAUACCCUGGUAGUCCACACGGUAAACGAUGGAUACUCGCUGUUGGCGAUAUACUGUCAGCGGCCAAGCGAAAGCAUUAAGUAUCCCACCUGGGGAGUACGCCGGCAACGGUGAAACUCAAAGGAAUUGACGGGGGGCCCGCACAAGCGGAGGAACAUGUGGUUUAAUUCGAUGAUACGCGAGGAACCUUACCCGGGCUUAAAUUGCAGACGAAUUACGAGGAAACUUGUAAGCCGCAAGGCGUCUGUGAAGGUGCUGCAUGGUUGUCGUCAGCUCGUGCCGUGAGGUGUCGGCUUAAGUGCCAUAACGAGCGCAACCCUCGUGGUCAGUUACUAACAGGUUAAGCUGAGGACUCUGGCCAGACUGCCAUCGUAAGAUGUGAGGAAGGUGGGGAGGACGUCAAAUCAGCACGGCCCUUACGUCCGGGGCUACACACGUGUUACAAUGGGAGGUACAGAAGGCAGCUACCCGGCGACGGGAUGCCAAUCCCCAAAACCUCUCUCAGUUCGGACUGGAGUCUGCAACCCGACUCCACGAAGCUGGAUUCGCUAGUAAUCGCGCAUCAGCCACGGCGCGGUGAAUACGUUCCCG